GAUGAAGAACGCAGUGAAAUGCGAUACGUAAUGUGAAUUGCAGAAUUCAGUGAAUCAUCGAGUCUUUGAACGCACAUUGCGCCCCCUGGUAUUCCGGGGGGCAUGCCUGUCCGAGCGUCAUUGCUGCCCUCAAGCACGGCUUGUGUGUUGGGCCUCCGUCCUCCUCCCGGGGGACGGGCCCGAAAGGCAGCGGCGGCACCGCGUCCGGUCCUCGAGCGUAUGGGGCUUCGUCACCCGCUCUUGUAGGCCCGGCCGGCGCUUGCCGACACAUCAAUCUUUUUUCCAGGUUGACCUCGGAUCAGGUAGGGAUACCCGCUGAACUUAAGCAUAUCAAUAAGCGAGGA
rnacentral:misc_RNA from 1 species